rnacentral:rRNA from 1 species
UACGGGGGGAGCAAGCGUUGUCCGGAAUACUGGGCGUAAAGCGUGCGCAGGCGGUUUGCUAAGACCGAUGUGAAAUCCCCGGGCUUAACCUGGGAACUGCGUGUGAUACUGGAUGGCUUGAAUUCGGGAGAGGGAUGCAGAAUUCCAGGUGUAGCGGUGAAAUGCGUAGAUAUCUGGAGGAAUACCGGUGGCGAAGGCGGCAUCCUGGACCGACAUUGACGCUGAACGGCGAAAGCUAGGGGAGC